ensembl:snoRNA
AAUGCUGCCAUUACCAUUACAGAUACAGCUGCUGCUGCUGCAGCAGUGCUGGGCUGUACCUGUGUCCUUAGGUAGCAAAGAGGAAGUGGCUUUUUCUACGCUCAGUGUUCAGAAAUCUGUGAGCACUAAGAAUGGUUGAUUGCCUGACAUUU